rnacentral:rRNA from 1 species
AGAGUUUGAUCCUGGCUCAGGAUGAACGCUGGCGGCGUGCCUAACACAUGCAAGUCGAGCGGUAUAUACCUUAUCAAAUCUUCGGAAGAGAGACGGUAUAGAGAGCGGCGGACGGGUGAGUAACGCGUAGGCAACCUGCCCCAUACAGAGGGAUAGCCUCGGGAAACCGGGAUUAAAACCUCAUAACGCCAAGAGUUCACAUGGACUUUUGGCCAAAGAUUUAUCGGUAUGGGAUGGGCCUGCGUCUGAUUAGCUAGUUGGUGGGGUAACGGCCUACCAAGGCAACGAUCAGUAGCCGACCUGAGAGGGUAAUCGGCCACAUUGGAACUGAGACACGGUCCAAACUCCUACGGGAGGCAGCAGUGGGGAAUAUUGCACAAUGGGCGAAAGCCUGAUGCAGCAACGCCGCGUGAGCGAUGAAGGCCUUUGGGUCGUAAAGCUCUGUCCUUGGGGAAGAAAAAAAUGACGGUAUUGGAGGAAGCCCCGGCUAACUACGUGCCAGCAGCCGCGGUAAUACGUAGGGGGCAAGCGUUAUCCGGAAUUAUUGGGCGUAAAGAGUGCGUAGGUGGUUUUAUAAGCGUGAGGUGAAAGGCAAUGGCUCAACUAUUGUAAGCCUUGUGAACUGUAAGACUUGAGUGCAGGAGAGGAAAGUGGAAUUCCUAGUGUAGCGGUGAAAUGCGUAGAUAUUAGGAGGAACACCAGUGGCGAAGGCGACUUUCUGGACUGUAACUGACACUGAGGCACGAAAGCGUGGGGAGCAAACAGGAUUAGAUACCCUGGUAGUCCACGCCGUAAACGAUGAGCACUAGGUGUCGGGGCCGCAAGGUUUCGGUGCCGCAGUUAACGCAUUAAGUGCUCCGCCUGGGGAGUACGCACGCAAGUGUGAAACUCAAAGGAAUUGACGGGGACCCGCACAAGCAGCGGAGCAUGUGGUUUAAUUCGAAGCAACGCGAAGAACCUUACCAGGACUUGACAUCCCUCUGACCGCUCUCUAACAGGAGCUUCCCUUCGGGGCAGAGGUGACAGGUGGUGCAUGGUUGUCGUCAGCUCGUGUCGUGAGAUGUUGGGUUAAGUCCCGCAACGAGCGCAACCCUUGUCAUUAGUUGCCACAGUUCGGCUGGGCACUCUAGUGAGACUGCCGGGGAUAACUCGGAGGAAGGUGGGGAUGACGUCAAAUCAUCAUGCCCCUUAUGUUCUGGGCUACACACGUGCUACAAUGGCUGGUACAAAGGGCAGCGAAGCCGCGAGGUGGGGCAAUCCCAGAAAGCCGGUCUCAGUUCGGAUUGCAGGCUGCAACUCGCCUGCAUGAAGUCGGAAUCGCUAGUAAUCGCAGGUCAGCAUACUGCGGUGAAUACGUUCCCGGGCCUUGUACACACCGCCCGUCACACAACGAAAGUU